rnacentral:lncRNA from 1 species
AUGGGGAUCAUACUGAGCUGUUGUGUGCACCCCAAGGUCAGCCCCGAGUCGGACCAGGAUGAGGGGUCAGGGUGUCCUCCUGACUCUGAAAUCUGUGAGGCAGCAGCUGAGGACACGACAGCAGCAGCAGCAGCGCCCACGGCUACUGCCGUAGCACCUGUGGACUUGACUGUUGAAGCUGGUGAGGGCCUUCCUGUGCAGGACAUCUGUGAUGGGGAGAUACCUGAAGCACAAGAAAUAGGAGAAAACAGCGGUACAAACCAUUUCUGA